rnacentral:rRNA from 1 species
CCCAGAUCGUUUACCGUGAAAAAAUUAGAGUGUUCAAAGCAGGCAGAUUUAACCAUUCUGCCCCCGAAUACAUUAGCAUGGGAUAAUGGAAUAGGACCCUGUCCUCCUAUUUUACGUGUUGGUUUUUGAGGACCAGGGUAAUGAUUAAAAGGGAUAGUUGGGGGCAUUAAUAUUUAAUUGUCAGAGGUGAAAUUCUUGGAUUUAUGAAAGAUUAACUUCUGCGAGAGCAUCUGCCAAGGAUGUUUUCAUUAAUCAAGAACGAAAGUUAGGGGAUCGAAGACGAUCAGAUACCGUCGUAGUCUUAACCAUAAACGAUGCCGACCAGCGAUUAGGAGACGUUGAAUACAAAACACCACCAUUAACGCGAUCGUUUUUUGCAAAUAUUGCCACAUACGCAAGUGUGUGGUUGUGUUUGGAGGAACGAUUUGUCUUAAUGGCCCGGUGAAUGACUCCUUUAGCAGCUUGUGAGAA